UACAGAGGUCUCAAGCGUUGUUCGGAUUCAUUGGGCGUAAAGGGUGCGUAGGCGGCGCGGUAAGUCGGGUGUGAAAUCUCGGAGCUUAACUCCGAAACUGCAUUCGAUACUGUCGUGCUUGAGGACUGGAGAGGAGACUGGAAUUUACGGUGUAGCGGUGAAAUGCGUAGAUAUCAUGAGGAAGACCAGUGGCGAAGGCGGAUCUCUGGACAGUUCCUGACACUGAGGCACGAAGGCCAGGGGAGCAAACGGG
rnacentral:rRNA from 1 species